rnacentral:tRNA from 1 species
GGGGGCAAUGGAGCUGGUGCUCCCCGCGGGCCGCAAACCCGUUGGCUGGCCCUAAAAAGGCCAGAGGAGGUUCAAUUCCCCUUGCCCCCUCCA